CACAGACCCCAGACGGGAACAAGAUGGCGACCGUUAAACUGGAGCCGCUUCCAGAGAAAAGGCCUGAAUCUGGAGAUACAGCACCCGUAGGCAAACUUUGAAAAUCCAAUGGUUUUCAAGUCCUGAGGAAUUGACUCACUCUCAGAUCUUGACGGGAUGUUUGUUUGGAAUUCUUGCUGAUAAUGCGCCUCUGUGAUUCUCUGCAAAACAAAUUUACACCAGAAACCUCUCGGUCACAGAGAUAGCAUCACCCACCAUCUUAAUGAAGAAUUCUAUCCUGUUGUGGUCACUCUUCCCUAAGGACCCAUGCUCAACUUGAUUGUCAAUUAUUCCUUUCUUGUUACCCAAUACCAUCUUCUUCUUCAACAUAUUGAUACAUUAAACUGUCCACUAAGAACUCCUCUAUUGUAUUGCUACUGACUUGAUUUGCCCAAUUUAUAUGCUGGUUAAAGUCCCCCAUAAUUACAGCCCUAACUUUUUUGCUUGCACCUCUAAUUUCCAUUUGAAUGCUGUCCUCAAUAUUGCUAUGGCAUACUGGCAUCUAUAUCCAAUC